UGGUGUCAUGCUGCCAAAAGAUAUGG
rnacentral:piRNA from 1 species